ensembl:misc_RNA 7SK 7SK RNA
GGAUGUGAGGGCGAUCUGGCUGCGACAUCUGUCACCCCAUUGAUCACCAGGGUUGAUUCGGCUGAUCUGGCUGGCUAGGCAGGUGUCCCCUUCCUCCCUCACUGCUCCAUGUGCAUCCCUCCUGAAGCUGCGCGCUAGGUCGGAAAGGACGGCCUUCCCCGAAUAGAGACAGACCGGUUUUCAGUGUGUCAGUCGAGGGUAUAUGAGUAGCUGUGCUCCCCUGAUAGAACCUCCAAACAAGCUCUCAAGGUAUGGUUCUAGGAAGCAUUGGUAAUAUCAUCUGCCCAAGGAAGUCAGGAUUAUUUAUGCCAUUUUCCAUAGUGAAUAUACUAGU